CCUACGGGGGGCUGCAGUGGGGAAUAUUGGACAAUGGGGGGAACCCUGAUCCAGCCAUACCGCGUGUGUGAAGAAGGCCCUCGGGUUGUAAAGCACUUUCAGUGAGGAAGAACGCCUGGUGGUUAAUACCCAUCAGGAAAGACAUCACUCACAGAAGAAGCACCGGCUAACUCCGUGCCAGCAGCCGCGGUAAUACGGAGGGUGCGAGCGUUAAUCGGAAUUACUGGGCGUAAAGCGCGCGUAGGUGGCUUGAUAAGCCGGUUGUGAAAGCCCCGGGCUCAACCUGGGAACGGCAUCCGGAACUGUCAAGCUAGAGUGCAGGAGAGGAAGGUAGAAUUCCCGGUGUAGCGGUGAAAUGCGUAGAGAUCGGGAGGAAUACCAGUGGCGAAGGCGGCCUUCUGGACUGACACUGACACUGAGGUGCGAAAGCGUGGGUAGCAAACAGGAUUAGAUACCCCUGUAGUC
rnacentral:rRNA from 1 species